rnacentral:misc_RNA from 1 species
GUAAAUUUCACGCACAAAACUGCAGAUCUUCUCUGCAAAAUCAAGUUCCCCUUCUGAAAUUCGACCGAUUGCUAACCUCAUUAAUUCUCCUGUCAAGUCCGCAAGCCCUAAGAUAUAGUCUAAGAUGUUAAUCUGCAAGGGUUCAACAGAAGGAUCACUUAAUGGGAGCAAGGUCGCAUUCAUCUCAUCAAGAGUUAAUAGAGUCCCUGUCUUGCAGAAAUUACAAAGUGUUGCAGCUUCAACAUAUUCUUGAACCCCAGGAGAAUAUGCUCGUCUUAGCUUCCAGAAAUCAGUCCCUUGCAGUUCCUUAACUAGCCGGGACAAAUAUUGAUCAGUCACAGCUGCCAAAUCUUUUACUGCUUUAUCCAGAACUUCCUCUUUGUUCUGCUUGCUCAUUCUGUGCACUUGAAAAAUGACCUUCUUGCUGUUCAUAGUAAUAUCACGGCUGGCUUUAACCACCCUUUCUCGUUUAUCAUUCAGGUUAUUGAGGUACUCAGCAUAUUUAGAGAAGCCAUCUUUCAUUGAUGAUUCAGUGUGAGUUUCAGUACUCAUGGUUCU